rnacentral:rRNA from 1 species
CCUACGGGAGGCAGCAGUAGGGAAUCUUUCACAAUGGGCGAAACCCUGAUGGAGCAACGCCGCGUGCAGGAUGAAGGCUUUCGGGUUGUAAACUGCUUUUAUAAGCGAGAAAUAUGAUGGUAACUUAUGAAUAAGGAUCGGCUAACUACGUGCCAGCAGCCGCGGUCAUACGUAGGAUCCGAGCAUUAUCCGGAGUUACUGGGUGUAAAGAGUUGCGUAGGGGGCAUAAUAAGUAGCGAGGGAAAACUGGUGGCUUAACCAUUCAGACUAUUAGCUAAACUGUUUAGCUCGAGAGCGUUAGAGGUAAGUGGAAUUUCUAGUGUAGGAGUGAAAUGCGUAGAUAUUAGAAGGAACACCAGUGGCGUAGGCAGGUUGCUGGGACGGUUCUGACGCUAAGGCUCGAAAGCGUAGGGAGCAAACGGGAUUAGAUACCCGAGUAGUC